rnacentral:rRNA from 1 species
AACGGCUCAGUAACACGUGGACAACCUAACCUAUGGAGGGGGAUAACCCCGGGAAACUGGGGAUAAUACCCCAUAGACUAUGGAUGCUGGAAUGCUCUGUAGUUGAAAGGUCCGCCGCCAUAGGAUGGGUCUGCGGCCGAUUAGGUUGUUGUUGGGGUAACGGCCCAACAAGCCUGUAAUCGGUACGGGUUGUGGGAGCAAGAGCCCGGAGAUGGAUUCUGAGACACGAAUCCAGGCCCUACGGGGCGCAGCAGGCGCGAAAACUUUACAAUGCGGGAAACCGUGAUAAGGGAACUCCGAGUGCCCGUAAAAUCGGGCUGUCCAUCUGUUUAAAUAACAGGUGAAGAAAGGGCCGGGCAAGACCGGUGCCAGCCGCCGCGGUAAUACCGGCGGCUCGAGUGGUGGCCACUAUUACUGGGCUUAAAGCGUUCGUAGCUGGUCUGUUAAGUCUCUGGGGAAAUCUACUGGCUUAACCAAUAGACGUUUCAGGGAUACUGGCAGACUAGGGACCGGGAGAGGUGAGAGGUACUCCAGGGGUAGGAGUGAAAUCCUGUAAUCCUUGGGGGACCACCUGUGGCGAAGGCGUCUCACCAGAACGGCUCCGACAGUGAGGGACGAAAGCUGGGGGAGCAAACCGGAUUAGAUACCCGGGUAGUCCCAGCCGUAAACGAUGCGCGUUAGGUGUAUCGGUGACCACGAGUCACCGAGGUGCCGAAGAGAAAUCGU